CGGGGUGCAGCAGGCGCGAAAACUUUACAAUGCCGGCAACGGCGAUAAGGGAACCUCGAGUGCCAGGUUACAAAUCUGGCUGUCGUGAUGCCUAAAAAGCAUUGCAUAGCAAGGGCCGGGCAAGACCGGUGCCAGCCGCCGCGGUAACACCGGCGGCUCGAGUGGUAACCGUUAUUAUUGGGUCUAAAGGGUCUGUAGCCGGCCGGAUAAGUCUCUUGGGAAAUCUGGCAGCUUAACUGUCAGGCUUUCAGGAGAUACUGUCUGGCUCGAGGCCGGGAGAGGUGAGAGGUACUUCAGGGGUAGGGGUGUAAUCUUGUAAUCCUUGAAGGACCACCAGUGGCGAAGGCGUCUCACCAGAACGGACCUGACGGCAAGGGACGAAAGCUAGGGGCACGAACCGGAUUAGAUACCCGGGUAGUCCUAGCCGUAAACGAUACUCGCUGGGUGUCGGCCACGGUGCGACCGUGGUCGGUGCCGUAGGGAAGCCGUGAAGCGAGCCACCUGGGAAGUACGGCCGCAAGGCUGAAACUUAAAGGAAUUGGCGGGGGAGCAC
rnacentral:rRNA from 1 species